rnacentral:tRNA from 1 species
GGAGGGAUGGCAGAGCGGUUUAAUGCACCGGUCUUGAAAACCGGAGUGGGCGCAAGUCCACCGUGAGUUCGAAUCUCACUCCCUCCGCCA